rnacentral:rRNA from 1 species
CGACGAGUUCUCGUUGAUGAUCGGUGCUUGCACCGAGAUUCAACAUGGAACGAGUGGCGGACGGGUGAGUAACACGUGGGUAACCUGCCCUUAAGUGGGGGAUAACAUUUGGAAACAGAUGCUAAUACCGCAUAGAUCCAAGAACCGCAUGGUUCUUGGCUGAAAGAUGGCGUAAGCUAUCGCUUUUGGAUGGACCCGCGGCGUAUUAGCUAGUUGGUGAGGUAAUGGCUCACCAAGGCGAUGAUACGUAGCCGAACUGAGAGGUUGAUCGGCCACAUUGGGACUGAGACACGGCCCAAACUCCUACGGGAGGCAGCAGUAGGGAAUCUUCCACAAUGGACGCAAGUCUGAUGGAGCAACGCCGCGUGAGUGAAGAAGGCUUUCGGGUCGUAAAACUCUGUUGUUGGAGAAGAAUGGUCGGCAGAGUAACUGUUGUCGGCGUGACGGUAUCCAACCAGAAAGCCACGGCUAACUACGUGCCAGCAGCCGCGGUAAUACGUAGGUGGCAAGCGUUAUCCGGAUUUAUUGGGCGUAAAGCGAGCGCAGGCGGUUUUUUAAGUCUGAUGUGAAAGCCCUCGGCUUAACCGAGGAAGCGCAUCGGAAACUGGCAAACUUGAGUGCAGAAGAGGACAGUGGAACUCCAUGUGUAGCGGUGAAAUGCGUAGAUAUAUGGAAGAACACCAGUGGCGAAGGCGGCUGCCUGGUCUGUAACUGACGCUGAGGCUCGAAAGCAUGGGUAGCGAACAGGAUUAGAUACCCUGGUAGUC